rnacentral:rRNA from 1 species
UACAGAGGGUGCAAGCGUUUGUUCGGAAUUAUUGGGCGUAAAGCGCACGUAGGCGGUCUGUUAUGUCGGAUGUGAAAGCCCUUGGCUUAACUGAGGAAGUGCAUCCGAAACUGGCAGGCUAGAGUACUAAAGAGGGUCGCAGGAAUUCCCGGUGUAGAGGUAAAAUUCGUAGAUAUCGGGAGGAACACCGGUGGCGAAGGCGGCGACCUGGGUAGAUACUGACGCUGAGGUGCGAAAGCGUGGGGAGCAAACAGG